rnacentral:rRNA from 1 species
CGUCCUACGGGAGGCAGCAGGGGGGGAUAUUGCACAAUGGGGGGAACCCUGCUGCAGCGACGCCUCUUGUGCGAUGGAGUACUUCGGUAUGUAAAUCCCUAUCAGCAGGGAAGAAAAUGACGGUACCUGACUAAGAAGCCCCGGCUAAAUACGUGCCAGCAGCCGCGGUAAUACGUAUGGGGCAAGCGUUAUCCGGAUUUACUGGGGGUAAAGGGAGCGGAGGCGGCCUGGCAAGCCUGAUGUGAAAUACCGGG